CCUACGGGAGGCAGCAGUGGGGAAUAUUGCACAAUGGGGGAAACCCUGAUGCAGCGACGUCGCGUGAGUGAUGACUUAUCUCGGUAUGUUAAGCUUUAUCUGCAGGGAAGUAAAUGACGGUACCUGUCUAAGAAGCCAUGGCUAACUACGUGCCAGCAGCCGCGGUAAUAUGUCGGGGGCAAGCGUUAUCCGGAUUUACUGGGUGUAAAGGGAGCGCAGACGGCUUGGUAAGUCUGGAGUGAAAGGCGGGGGCCCAACCCCCAGAUUGCCCUUGAAACUGGAAAGUUGGAGUGCAGGAGAGGUAAGCGGAAUUCGUGGUGUAGCGGUGAAAUGCGUAGAUAUUAGGAAGAACACCGAUUGCGAAGGCAGCUUACUGGACUGCAACUGACGUUGAGGCUCGAAAGCGUGGGUAGCAAACAGGAUUAGAUACCCGGGUAGUC
rnacentral:rRNA from 1 species